GUCACUGGGGUCUACCUCUUUUGGCGUGGCUGAAUCAGUAGCGUUGUAUCGGCCGAGGGAGGCGGGUGUUCGCUGGGCAGGAAACCACUGGAAGCGGCGUACAGUUGUCGUAUGUGGCAUUCCUAUUGGAUUAAGCGAAGCAGUCGGCCGCCUAUCCCGUGGUGGUGUUAGUGCACGCGGGGUCGGCUAGACUGUACGACGGCUCCAUGCUGGCGGUGCUCGGCAGUCAUCGUCGUCACCAUCAACUACCGCCUCGGCAUCCUAGACCCUCAUCUCUGAGCACACGGCACUAUUAGAGUGGAGGAGGGCCGUUGGGGAGAGAAGCGGCUGCGGCUCCACGUGGGACGGGUACGAAGAAGACCUUGGGGGAGGCGGAGGCCGGGCCACUCCACGCGCCGUACCAUUGUGAGGUG